CCCGGCCACCUGACAAUUCCUCUCCCACCUGCACAUUAUUUAUAUAGACAUGAAUGCUAAGUACAGAUGAGCUCUCCAUCUGGAACUGUUUACGUACCUGGCAGAAAAGGAACUAACCUUUAUCAAGGACCGAUUACGUGCUGAGCAUUUUACAUACAUCAUCUCUCCUUUAAGCCCCACAGCAACCCAGGCAAUAAAUUUCACUCCUCCUAUUUUUCAGGUGAGAAAACUGAGGCUCAGAGACAUGAAGUGUCUCUUCCAAGGCCAAACAGAAGUUGCUUUCGAGUUGCAACCCCAAACUGUGUGAUCCAGAGCCCAUGCUUGUUUUAGGGCCAGGUGGAAGCACUUCCCUUAGGGUUAUAUCUGUGUCCGGGGACACCAUGUACAUAAAAAUACUUGUUAUUAAGUGAGGUUGUGCUGCUUUGUAAUGCUAGGGACCAUCGUGAUGUGCCUAAGGCUAUCCUAUAUAAGAGGGGACCCCAGGAAGACAGCCAGGACCCCUGGGGGAAUCAGAGGUCUCUGCUCUAGACGGAGGAGGAUCUUCUCCAAGACAGAGCCAUUCAUAAUGGAAGACACCAUCCUGGAGGGAGUGAGCUCCAAUCCCUGGCAACUUUGGAGCAAUUACUGUUUGUCCAGCCCUGGUGCAGUACUGGGGACAUAGCAGCACAUGACAGAGCUAUCACUGGCCACAUGCUGCCCCAGAUCAGUGGAGACAUUACAGGGCCUCUGGUGGCCAGCACCUUGGGGUUAUGAGAGGGGGUGGCCCAACGGUAAGAUUCUAAGAUUCUGAAAUGACAUUAGACAAAUAAUUGUGUAUAUAUUUAGCUUUUUCACUCUUUAAGCCUGGCUGCUUCUUGUCUCUAUUGCUACAUAACAAACCAUGUCAAGAUUUAGUAGUUUAAAGCCAUAAUUGACUCUCGUGCUUCUGUGGGCUGACCCAGCAGCUCUGCUGACCUUGUUGGGCUCGCUCGCGUGGCUGCAUUUGACUGAUGGGCCAGCCGAUACAGCAAGGCCUCUCUCUGCCCCAGCCUGGGCUUCUGACCUUGCAGCUGGGCUGGGCCCCAACAGGGUGAAGGCAGAAGCUGCAAGGCCCCGAGUCCUGGGCAGCAGAACACAGGCUACAUCUACUAGUCAAGCAAGCCAUGAGGUCAGCCCAGAUGGAGGGGUGGGGACAGAGCCUUCGCUUUUGCAUGGAGUCACAUUCCAAAGAGUCUUUAUGUUCUGGGAUGGGAGGAAUUGGUGCUACUAAAAAGCUGCCUCACUGGCCUGCUCAGAAAGGCUUCAGAACCAGUGACAAAUAACUGCAUGGCUUAUGCCUGGAUGUCAGGAGACCUGAUAUCUGUCUCCUGCACCACUAACCGAGUGAUGUGCGACCCCUCUCUCGGCGUCAGUUUCUCUAUGUGUACAGUCGGGGCACUGAGCAUGGUAGGUCUCUGGCCCUGUGUGUGCGUGUGAUGGGGUGAAACUCAGACAAUGCCGCCUCUCUUCUCCCAGGUGCAGAGACGCUGAUUUGUACACAUAUCAGAGAAGCAGAGGCCCAACCAUAAAAGAAACUGCCAUCCUGACACAAAUGCCCCUGUGGCCCACUGCUUCCUAUGCCUCCUCUUCUGGUGACAGGCACUGCACCCAGCCAUGCCCAGAGCCAGUUUCCCGUGGCAAUAACAGAUGUCCAUCAGAGGGAGAGUGCGUGACUCAAACAAGGCCAAUCAGCCGCCUUCCCUGGGACUGAUUCAGAGGCCCAAGGAGACAGAGGUCUCAUUUGACUGGAAUUUCUAACUGGGGCUGUUGGUGGCUGCAUCCCAAUGGGGAGAAAUGAGGCCCGGAUGAUGAAACUAAGGAUCCCAGAGGCUGAGUGACUUCCCCGGAGUCCCUCGGUGGGUAAGUGGAGGAGAUGGGCGACUGGGGCUCAGACAAAGCAAAAAAACUACCUGCCAUCACACAGCAAACUAGUGACGGGGCUCAGGACUGCAACCAGUUUUCCUGCACCCCCAUCUGGUGCCCCUGCAAACAGGUGACUGCCCCCCACCAUCUCCACCAAGGUUUUGGCCUCAAGGGAAGGAAGCUGAAGUGGGCAGAGGGCUCCCUCAAGGUCAGCAAGGCGAACGGAACUUUGUCCGCCCUUACCUCCAUGUCCUUUCAGCCUGGGUGCCUCCCUGGGCAGGGUGGGUACAGGACGGGGGUGGGGGGAAAGGGGUGUGCCCCUGGCCAAUGGCAGUCAGGCAGGGGCUGAGAAGCCAGCUGACAGGAAGCCCCCAGCAUGUCUGGGUGAUCAGAUCACCAGAAUCGCCUGGGCUGAUUGAGAAGAAAGAUAUAUUCACAUCCACGUCCACAGCAGCAGCAGCCAGGGGCAUGGGGCCUCAUCCCCUCUGAAGAGGAGCCUGCAGCCCAGGUGGCCAGCACAAGCCAGAUACACAGUGGCCCUUGAGGAGGACUGGACAGAGGGAAGUAGAAGGGACGGCAAGGGGGUAGGUCAGUUGGUUCUAAAGAUGAAAACAAAAUUCUUCUCAAUUACUGCCUAUUAUGCAAAUGGAGAGACUUGGGUGCAGGGAGGGGCAGACCCUCACCCCAAGUCUCCCUUGAUUUUCAAUGCAAGCUUUUGGCAACACUUUCUCAUAGCCCUUCCCCCUACUCCCCUCCCCAGGCAGGUUUCCAGCCCUAGCUGAUGCCUGGGUCCUGAUCCACAGGACACAGCUGAGUAGCUGGCAGGUGGCAGGAGGGGGCAGGGCUGAGCUUCAGGAGUAUGGGAUGUUCUGCUGGUUUCCUUCAACUCCCCACAAGACAAUGGAAAGUCACUAUCCUUCCCCCAUGUGUUCACUGGGAGCCACCAGCCAUAGUGGAGUCUGAGCCAGAGAUCUGGGUUCAUAUAUCAGCUCCCUUUUGAGCCUCAGCUUCCACAUCUGUGAAAUGGGAAUACUAAUCCUGAUCUUGGAGAAGUAGAGGAUUCCAUGGGAUUGUAUUAUUCCCAUUUUGUGGGUGAGAAAACUAAGUCUUGGGGAAUUUAAGCAACUUGCUCAAGAUUACACAGCUAAAAAUAAAAUUGGGCAAAAUCUGUAUUGGAAUCCAAGUUUACAUGACUCCAAAUUCUUCCAUUUCUACUCUAGCCGGGAGCCAGAGGGGAUUUCUGGCAGGACUGCUGCAAAUGUUUGGAGGCAACUGACUGAGCCUCUUAAACGGGCAGAGGGUGCGCAUCCCAAUCAGACAGAGACCACCUGGAAUGGCUCUGACUGAAGUGGCCGGGGGGCCUGGGGCAGGGGAGCUGAAGACAUUCUUGGGCCCCCGGAGGCCUUUGCUCUCUGCCUCUUAGGUGGAAUAGCCCCCGCCUUCCCUUCCUCAAUGCCCCAAGCCCACUGUCUUUCCACUGCUUUUUUGAUCAGAUUGCCCCAGUGUUCUGGCAUGAGAGAUGGGGGUGUCCCAGCGUAUGUUCCAAAGGAUAUCCCUGUGAUUGUGUGCAGAAGUACAUGUUAGGCAUUGUACACUUGGGAGCUGUGUGUGCAUGGAAGCUCACGCAUGUUUGCACCUGAACUGUGUGCGCGCAGGUGGUCUGUGUGCAGCCUCCCCUUCAUGAUGUGUGUACGGCCAUUUCACACCUCUGUGCUACUGUGUGUGAGGGCAGAUGAUAUGUCCUGGUAUCUCCCGAGUGUGUUUGUAACCAUAUGCGGGGUGAUAUGCCCCAGCCUGUGUGUGAGGACUGGCUGUGUGGGAGUACUGGUAUGGCUGGGAGGCUGCUAUGGGCACUGUGGGCCCAGAUGUUUGUGUUGUAUGUGGAGGUACCUGUAGCUGGGUGUGGGGCAGCCUAGGAGUGCCACUUCAUCUGCAGCUGCAAAGAAUGGGGAAAAGAAUGUCAGGCAUUUUGGGGGACCUGAGACAGGCUCCGUGUCCUCACUAAGUCUCCAUUUCCCUUUCUGCUAAUGAACCAGUUAUCCUUGAGGACGUCCUGGGAUUGAGGCCCCUAGAAGGAGGGGGAGACAUGGAUGAACCCACAGCACCCGAUGGGCAGUUAGAAAUCGCAGUCAUGUUGUGGGGUAAGCAGCUGGUCUGCUCAGGGGAGGCCAAGUGAGGGGGUCCAGAAGCACCACACGCCUGGGCUACUCGACGCAGGAGGUGCCUCUCUAGGCUCCUUUAACUUAGGAAACCCAGUCCUCCUCUGCUCCCCCUCCCCUGUGUCCAGAACACUCCCCAGCAGUCACCCCAACGGCUGGGACGCCGCCCAGCUCCACACCUAAGGUUUACAGCGGGCUUUGUAGCGCGGAGUCCUCGUGUCU
rnacentral:lncRNA from 1 species